UUUCCGUUGGUGAACCAGCGGAGGGAUCAUUAUCGAGUUUGCAACUCCCAAACCCUAGGUGAACUUACCACACCGCUGCUUCGGCGAACGCUCGUCGACGCCCAGCACGAUAAACUCUGUCUUCUAUAAGUAGGUCUGAGUGGCGAAAUGCAAAAAACAAAUGAAUAAAAACUUUCAACAACGGAUCUCUUGAUUCUG
rnacentral:misc_RNA from 1 species